rnacentral:lncRNA from 1 species
AAAAAAAAAGGAAAAACAAAUUGUUUUGGUUUCAGAGUCAAUGUCAUUAUUCUUUUAAUUGUGUUUGUUCUAACAUAUCAUUUCCCUUUCUUUUCUUUUUCAGUUCUGUUACUCAGUUCUUCUUUUUUCUUUUUUUCUUUUUUUAUUCACAAUUGAGUGUUUCUCAUUCGGUGAGUUCUUUUUUCCAUUCCAUCAACUUUAUUUUUUCUUUUGUUUCCUUUGUUU